rnacentral:lncRNA from 1 species
AGUUUUGAAGACAUUAAAAAUAGGAAAAUGUCGAUUGUUACAAAACAACCAGCAUACAAAAUGCAAGAGCAUAAUUUUAAAGUCAUGUACCAUUAUGUUUCACUACAUGACUCCAUUCACCACACAUCUUUUGUAUACGAGGUUGCUGCAAAUCAAUAAGUCAUAAUAUUUUCAUUGACAGAGAUGAAUGAUACAAUACUUGUUUUAAGAAAAUUAAACCCCUCAUGACAAACAUUAUAUAUCUCAGCCUUAAAUUUCUGAUGCUUAAAUGUGCCUUUCAAUUUUCAUAACUGCAGUGAAGAUAUUAUUUAGACAGAAAUCCAAGGAUAAAAAUCUCCCAACCACUACUCCCACAAAGGAAAGUAUUUUUGCAAGUUCGAGUAUUCUAAAAGCACGAAGACAAGAACAAAAUUUCACCAUUUCUAUCCCCUAAAGGAAUUUUUCAAGCUUCCGGGAUUUAAUAGGUUCUGGCGGACGGAAGGUCUUCAAU